AUUGAACGCUGGCGGCAUGCCUUACACAUGCAAGUCGAACGGUAACAGCACUUCGGUGGCUGACGAGUGGCGAACGGGUGAGUAAUACAUCGGAACGUGCCCGAGAGUGGGGGAUAACGCAGCGAAAGCUGUGCUAAUACCGCAUACGAUCUACGGAUGAAAGCAGGGGACCGCAAGGCCUUGCGCUCAUGGAGCGGCCGAUGGCAGAUUAGGUAGUUGGUGGGACAAAAGCUUACCAAGCCGACGAUCUGUAGCUGGUCUGAGAGGACGACCAGCCACACUGGGACUGAGACACGGCCCAGACUCCUACGGGAGGCAGCAGUGGGGAAUUUUGGACAAUGGGCGAAAGCCUGAUCCAGCCAUGCCGCGUGCAGGAUGAAGGCCUUCGGGUUGUAAACUGCUUUUGUACGGAACGAAAAGGUCUUUUCUAAUAAAGAAGGCUCAUGACGGUACCGUAAGAAUAAGCACCGGCUAACUACGUG
rnacentral:rRNA from 1 species